rnacentral:rRNA from 1 species
UACGUAGGGUGCAAGCGUUAUCCGGAAUUAUUGGGCGUAAAGAGCUCGUAGGCGGUUUGUCGCGUCUGCUGUGAAAACUGGAGGCUCAACCUCCAGCCUGCAGUGGGUACGGGCAGACUAGAGUGCGGUAGGGGAGAUUGGAAUUCCUGGUGUAGCGGUGGAAUGCGCAGAUGUCAGGAGGAACACCGAUGGCGAAGGCAGAUCUCUGGGCCGUAACUGACGCUGAGGAGCGAAAGCGUGGGGAGCGAACAGG